AUGGUGCUUCUUCCCACGAAUCCCGAGGCGCUGCAACCCAAGGACUACAGGCCCAUCAGCUUGAUCUGUAGCUUCGCUAAAUUGGUCACUAAAAUCCUUGCGGCUCGGUUGCAGAGGAGGAUGCCAGAGCUUGUUAGACCCUGCCAGAACGCCUUCAUCAGGGGAAGGACCAUUCACGACAGUUUCAGCUAUGUCAGCGGCCUUGCAAGGGCGUUUCGUAGGGCAAAAACGCCUGUCCUCAUGGUUAAGUUGGACAUCCAGCGGGCUUUUGACACGGUGUCCUGGGAAUUUCUUAUCAAGUUGCUCGAGGCUCGAGGUGUGGGCCGGAGGGUGAUAGACAUGCUGGCAGCUCUGCUUCGCUCUUCCACCACCAAUAUCCUUGUCAAUGGGGAGCUAUCGGACAGCAUCAGCCAUAGAAGGGGCCUACGAUAG
rnacentral:rRNA from 1 species